rnacentral:rRNA from 1 species
GAACGCUGGCGGCAGGCCUAACACAUGCAAGUCGAGCGGUAGCACAGAGAGCUUGCUCUCGGGUGACGAGCGGCGGACGGGUGAGUAAUGUCUGGGAAACUGCCUGAUGGAGGGGGAUAACUACUGGAAACGGUAGCUAAUACCGCAUAAUGUCGCAAGACCAAAGUGGGGGACCUUCGGGCCUCAUGCCAUCAGAUGUGCCCAGAUGGGAUUAGCUAGUAGGUGGGGUAACGGCUCACCUAGGCGACGAUCCCUAGCUGGUCUGAGAGGAUGACCAGCCACACUGGAACCGAGACACGGUCCAGACUCCUACGGGAGGCAGCAGUGGGGAAUAUUGCACAAUGGGCGCAAGCCUGAUGCAGCCAUGCCGCGUGUGUGAAGAAGGCCUUCGGGUUGUAAAGCACUUUCAGCGGGGAGGAAGGCGUUAAGGUUAAUAACCUUGGCGAUUGACGUUACCCGCAGAAGAAGCACCGGCUAACUCCGUGCCAGCAGCCGCGGUAAUACGGAGGGUGCAAGCGUUAAUCGGAAUUACUGGGCGUAAAGCGCACGCAGGCGGUCUGUCAAGUCGGAUGUGAAAUCCCCGGGCUCAACCUGGGAACUGCAUUCGAAACUGGCAGGCUAGAGUCUUGUAGAGGGGGGUAGAAUUCCAGGUGUAGCGGUGAAAUGCGUAGAGAUCUGGAGGAAUACCGGUGGCGAAGGCGGCCCCCUGGACAAAGACUGACGCUCAGGUGCGAAAGCGUGGGGAGCAAACAGGAUUAGAUACCCUGGUAGUCCACGCCGUAAACGAUGUCGAUUUGGAGGUUGUGCCCUUGAGGCGUGGCUUCCGGAGCUAACGCGUUAAAUCGACCGCCUGGGGAGUACGGCCGCAGGGUUAAAACUCAAAUGAAUUGACGGGGGCCCGCACAAGCGGUGGAGCAUGUGGUUUAAUUCGAUGCAACGCGAAGAACCUUACCUGGUCUUGACAUCCACAGAACUUUCCAGAGAUGGAUUGGUGCCUUCGGGAACUGUGAGACAGGUGCUGCAUGGCUGUCGUCAGCUCGUGUUGUGAAAUGUUGGGUUAAGUCCCGCAACGAGCGCAACCCUUAUCCUUUGUUGCCAGCGGUUAGGCCGGGAACUCAAAGGAGACUGCCAGUGAUAAACUGGAGGAAGGUGGGGAUGACGUCAAGUCAUCAUGGCCCUUACGACCAGGGCUACACACGUGCUACAAUGGCAUAUACAAAGAGAAGCGACCUCGCGAGAGCAAGCGGACCUCAUAAAGUAUGUCGUAGUCCGGAUUGGAGUCUGCAACUCGACUCCAUGAAGUCGGAAUCGCUAGUAAUCGUAGAUCAGAAUGCUACGGUGAAUACGUUCCCGGGCCUUGUACACACCGCCCGUCACACCAUGGGAGUGGGUUGCAAAAGAAGUAGGUAGCUUAACCUUCGGGAGGGCGCUUACCACUUUGUGAUUCAUGACUGGG